rnacentral:rRNA from 1 species
GAUGAACGCUGGCGGCGUGCCUAAUACAUGCAAGUCGAGCGAACGGACGAGAAGCUUGCUUUUCUGAUGUUAGCGGCGGACGGGUGAGUAACACGUGGAUAACCUACCUAUACGACUGGGAUAACUUCGGGAAACCGGAGCUAAUACCGGAUAAUAUUUUGAACCUCAUGGUUCAUAAGUGAAAGACGGUCUUUCUGUCACUUAUAGAUUGAUCCGCGCUGCAUUCGCUAGUUGGUAAGGUAAAGGCUUACCAAGGCAGCGAUGGAUAGCCGACCUGAAAGCGUGGACGGACAGCCGGGCUGUGAGGCAGGGCCCAGACUCCGACGGGAGGCAGCAGUAGGGAAUCCUCCGCGAUGGGCGAAUGCCUGACGUAGCAACGCCGCGUGAGUGAUGAAGGUCUUCUGAUCGUAAAACUCUGUUAUCAGGGAAGAACAUAUGUGUAAGUAACUGUGCUCAUCUUGACGGUACCUAAUCAGAAAGCCACGGCUAACUACGUG